rnacentral:rRNA from 1 species
AUACGUAGGGGGCAAGCGUUAUCCGGAUUUACUGGGUGUAAAGGGAGCGUAGACGGUUUGGCAAGUCAGAAGUGAAAUUCCUGAGCUCAACUCGGGCGCUGCUUCUGAAACUGCUUUACUUGAGUGCUGGAGAGGAUAGUGGAAUUCCUAGUGUAGCGGUAAAAUGCGCAGAUAUUAGGAGGAACACCGGUGGCGAAGGCGGCUAUCUGGACAGUAACUGACGCUGAGGCGCGAAAGCACGGGGAGCAAACAGGAUUAGAUACCCUGGUAGUCCGUGCCGUAAACGAUGAAUACUAGGUGUAGGGGGUAUCGACUCCCUCUGUGCCGCAGUUAACACAUUAAGUAUUCCGCCUGGGGAGUACGGCCGCAAGGUUGAAACUCAAAGGAAUUGACGGGG